AUUGAACGCUGGCGGCAGGCCUAACACAUGCAAGUCGAGCGGAGCGGCGGACGGGUGAGUAAUGCCUAGGAAUCUGCAUGGUAGUGGGGGAUAAUGUCCGGAAACGGGCGCUAAUACCGCAUACUAUCAGAUGAGACUAGGUCGGAUUAGCUAGUUGGUGGGGUAAAGGCCUACCAGGGCGCCGAUCCGUAACUGGUCUGAGAGGAUGAUCAGUCAAACUGGAAUUGAGACACGGUCCAGACGCUGACGGUAGGCAGCAGGGGGGAAUAUUGGACAAUGGGCGAAAGCCUGAUCCAGCCAUGCCGCGUGUGUGAAGAAGGUCUUCGGAUUGUAAAGCACUUUAAGUUGGGAGGCGGUACCAACAGAAUAAGCACCGGCUAACUACGUGCCAGCAGCCGCGGUAAUAC
rnacentral:rRNA from 1 species